rnacentral:rRNA from 1 species
AUUGAACGCUGGCGGCAGGCCUAACACAUGCAAGUCGAACGAGUGGCGGACGGGUGAGUAAUGUCUUGGAAACUGCCUGAUGGAGGGGGAUACCUACUGGAAACGGUAGCUAAUACCGCAUACCAUCAGAUGUUCCCAGAUGGGAUUAGCUAGUUGGUGGGGUAACGGCUCACCAAGGCGACGAGCCCUAGCUGGUCUGAGAGGAUGACCAGCCACACUGGAACUGAGACACGGUCCAGACGCCUACGGGAGGCAGCAGUGGGGAAGAUGGCACAAUGGGCGCAAGCCUGAGGCAGCCAUGCCGAGUGUAUGAAGAAGGCCGUCGGGUUGUAAAGUACUUUCAGCGGGGAGGCGUUACCCGCAGAAGAAGCACCGGCUAACGCCGUGACAGCAGCCGCGGUAAUAC